GACAGAGGGUGCAAGCGUUGUUCGGAAUCAUUGGGCGUAAAGCGCACGUAGGCGGCUAUAUAAGCCGGAUGUGAAAGCCCGGGGCUCAACCUCGGAAGUGCAUCAGGAACUGUGUAGCUUGAGUCUUGGAGAGGGUGGUGGAAUUCCCGGUGUAGAGGUGAAAUUCGUAGAUAUCGGGAGGAACACCAGUGGCGAAGGCGACCACCUGGACAAUGACUGACGCUGAGGUGCGAAAGCGUGGGUAGCAAACAGG
rnacentral:misc_RNA from 1 species